rnacentral:rRNA from 1 species
GAACGGCAGCGGGGAGGAGCUUGCUUCUCUGCCGGCGAGUGGCGAACGGGUGAGUAAUACAUCGGAACGUGUCGAGAAGAGGGGGAUAACCACCCGAAAGGGUGGCUAAUACCGCAUAAAUUCUGAGGAAGAAAGCUAGGGACCUAGGAAUAGGCCUAGCGCUUUUUGAGCGGCCGAUGUCGGAUUAGCUAGUUGGUGAGGUAAAGGCUCACCAAGGCGAAGAUCUGUAGCGGGUCUGAGAGGAUGAUCCGCCACACUGGGACUGAGACACGGCCCAGACUCCUACGGGAGGCAGCAGUGGGGAAUUUUGGACAAUGGGGGCAACCCUGAUCCAGCCAUGCCGCGUGUAUGAAGAAGGCCUUAGGGUUGUAAAGUACUUUUGUUAGGGAAGAAAAGUCAGCUGUGAAUAAUGGCUGAUACUGACGGUACCUAAAGAAUAAGCACCGGCUAACUACGUGCCAGCAGCCGCGGUAAUACGUAGGGUGCGAGCGUUAAUCGGAAUUAUUGGGCGUAAAGCGAGUGUAGACGGUUAUUUAAGCCAGAUGUGAAAUACCCGAGCCUAACUUGGGAGGUGCAUAUGGAACUGGGUAGCUAGAGUGUGUCAGAGGGAGGUAGAACUCCACGUGUAGCAGUGAAAUGCGUAGAGAUGUGGAAGAAUACCGAUGGCGAAGGCAGC